rnacentral:rRNA from 1 species
GACGAACGCUGGCGGCGUGCUUAACACAUGCAAGUCGAACGGUGAUCUUGAGAGCUUGCUCUUGGGUGAUCAGUGGCGAACGGGUGAGUAACACGUGAGUAACCUGCCCCUGACUCUGGAAUAACUUCGGGAAACCGAAGCUAAUACCGGAUAUGACACAGAGCCGCAUGGUUUCUGUGUGGAAAGUUUUUCGGUUGGGGAUGGACUCGCGGCCUAUCAGCUUGUUGGUGAGGUAAUGGCUCACCAAGGCGACGACGGGUAGCCGGCCUGAGAGGGCGACCGGCCACACUGGGACUGAGACACGGCCCAGACUCCUACGGGAGGCAGCAGUGGGGAAUAUUGCACAAUGGGCGAAAGCCUGAUGCAGCGACGCCGCGUGAGGGAUGAAGGCCUUCGGUUGUAAACUACCUCGUCAUGUGGGAGUAAAUAGGUCCAGGGCGAUGAAUAAGUAGCCUUGGAAUGAUAGUACCUACAGGAGGAAGGGACGGGCGUAACUACU